rnacentral:rRNA from 1 species
CAGCCGCCGCGGUAAUACGAAGGGUGCAAGCGUUACUCGGAAUUACUGGGCGUAAAGCGUGCGUAGGCGGUGAGUUAAGUCUGCUGUGAAAUCCCCGGGCUCAACCUGGGAAUGGCAGUGGAUACUGGCUCGCUAGAGUGUGUCAGAGGAUGGUGGAAUUCCCGGUGUAGCGGUGAAAUGCGUAGAGAUCGGGAGGAACAUCAGUGGCGAAGGCGGCCAUCUGGGACAACACUGACGCUGAGGCACGAAAGCGUGGGGAGCAAACAGGAUUAGAUACCCGCGUAGUCCCUGUCUCUUAUAC